AUUGAACGCUGGCGGCAGGCCUAACACAUGCAAGUCGAGCGGUGCGGGCGACGGGCGAGUAAUGGCUAGGAGUCUGCCUGGCCGGGGGGUAUCACAUGCAUAAACGGGCGCUAAUACCGCAUACUGUUAGAUGAGCCUUGGUCGGAGUUGCUAGUUGGUGGGGUAAAGGCCUACCAAGGCAACGAUCCGGAACUGGUCUGAGAGGAUGAUCAGGCACACUGGAACUGAGACACGGUCCAGACUCCUCCGGUAGGCAGCAGAGGGGAAUGUAGUACAAGUGGCGAAAGCCUGAUCCAGCCAUGCCGCGUGUGUGAAGAAGGUCUUCGGAUUGGAAAGCUCUUUAAGUUGGGAAGCGGUACCAACAGAAUAAGCACCGGCUAACUCCGUGCCAGCAGCCGCGGUAAUAC
rnacentral:rRNA from 1 species